GACGAACGCUGGCGGCGUGCUUAACACACGCAAGUCUGCGAGAAAGGGGUAGCAAUAUCCCGAGUAAAGCGGCGCACGGGUGAGUAACGCGUAGGCAAUUUACCUUUAGGACGGGAAAACCCCGCGAAAGCGAGGCUAAUUCCCGAUAAUGCAGCGGCACCGCAUGGUGAUGUUGUUAAAGGCCUUCGGGCGCCUAUCGAUGAGCCUGCGGCCCAUUAGGUAGUUGGCGGGGUAAUGGCCCCCCAAGCCGACGAUGGGUAGCUGGUCUGAGAGGAUGAUCAGCCACACUGGAACUGAGACACGGUCCAGACUCCUACGGGAGGCAGCAGUGAGGAAUAUUGCGCAAUGGCCGAAAGGCUGACGCAGCGACGCCGCGUGAAGGAUGAAGUCCGUUAGGACGUAAACUUCUUUUGCAGGGGAUGAACAGUCCGUUUUACGGAUUUGACCGUACCCUGCGAAUAAGGAUCGGCUAACUACGUGCCAGCAGCCGCCGUAACAC
rnacentral:rRNA from 1 species